CAGAUAGUCCAGAACAUGAUGGCUAGGUGCCUAGGGCAGGGAAACACCUUUCUGAUGGGACCAGAUGGAGAACCUUUUCCAUUUUGGCAGGCAUCAAAAUUGAUUAGUCCAUCCUGAUUAGAAGUCCUAGAAUAUCGAAGUUGACUGGAUAAAGGCCACAUUGGACAGUUCUUGAGACCUGGAACAGCCUCUAACCAACCAUUUGUCCAGGUCUUGGGAAUGAAGAAUAGACCCUGGGUAUCAUUGCAACUGUUGCAGUCUACACUGCUUCCUUUUUGUUGCCUGCAUAUAGAUAUCCAGCGACUUAAGCAUCACCCUUGAGUCUUUAAGGCUAUGCAGCCUAUUAUCUAUCUUCUCUGAAACAGUGAUGGCCCCUCAAAUGAGAGGUCUUGGAUGGUCUGCUUGACCUCUUACUCCUCACAGAAUUCUGCACCCCUGCGAGAGCACAGAAUUCAUAUGGCCCGCAUAUUUCUGUGCCUCCCACACAGAAAAAAGUAAAAAAAAAUCUGCCGGGGGACAUGCACCUCUUCCCCAGCAGCCCAGGCAGCACGUAUGUUCCAGGGUGCCUGGAGCAGCCUCAGAGACGCAAAUCACUGUAGGCGGAGGGGGUCUCGGUGUGCAUGCCUGCAGGGGAGACGUUGAUCAUGGUCAGGGGUCUGGGCGGGGCAUGCAUGCCUGCCAAUGAGAGAGACCCUGUCCCUCUCGCUUGCUACUGCGGCUGUCUGGGGACCUUGGAGAGUUAGGUCUUUUUAUUAAGCACAAGACAGACUCUGUCCCUCAAACAUAAAUGUAGCAGCCUGCCUGCAUAGUAACAUUGUUAAUGUUGCUGUUGUUAGUUUACUGUUCCCAUUCUCAGUCAAUUUCCCCAGGAGCAUAAACCCUGUAAAAGUUUUAAGGCCCCUGCAUUGUCAAAGUGAUGUAAAGCCUUAUAAAUGACAGUAAGGGAAUCAUCUAGGAAGAUCUAUGUGCUUUCUCACUUUUUUCCUGUGCCAAAGUGGACAAUGGGGUUAAAUUACAGCUCGGGAUUUAUUUUACUUACCCAUUAAAAAAAAAAGACUUUGAGGGCAAAUAAAACAUCUACCAAGCAGUUAAUAAAAUGUCAGGACAAUUAGAAGCAAGCACUUCCCAAAGUACCCAGCCAGGUCCAGGACAAUGAUUAGCAAAACUGUAUG